rnacentral:rRNA from 1 species
GACGAACGCUGGCGGCGUGCUUAACACAUGCAAGUCGAACGGAAAGGCCCUGCGUUUGUGGCGUGCUCGAGUGGCGAACGGGUGAGUAACACGUGAGUAACCUGCCCUUGACUUUGGGAGAACUUCAGGAAACUGGGGCUAAUACCGGAUAGGAGCUCCUGCUGCAUGGUGGGGGUUGGAAAGUUUCGGCGGUUGGGGAUGGACUCGCUGCUUAUCAGCUUGUUUGUGGGGUAGUGGCUUACCAAGGCUUUGACGGGUAGCCGGCCUGAGAGGGGGACCGGCCACAUUGGGACUGAGAUACGGAGCAGACGCCUACGGGCGGCAGCAGUGGAGAAUAUUGCAGAAUGGGCGGAAGUGUGAUGCAGCAACGCCGCGUGCGGGAUGCCGGCCUUCGGGUUGUAAACAGCUUUCGCCUGUGACGAAGAGUGAGUGACGGUAAUGGGUAAAGAAGCACCGGCUAACUACGUG